CUGUGCAGCAAUGGCGAUGGCAGUGGCGGUGGUGGUGCGGCGAUGGUGAGGGUGGCAUGGCGAUGGCAACAGCCCUAGGAGAAGAAAACACUGUAAGAGAGGGAGAGAGAGAGAAAGUGAGGGAGGGAGAGGGAGAAACUAGGGAAGGACGAUGCCGGUGAUGGUGGAGGGAGGGCAACAGCGGUGGCACACUCGACCGGAGAGGGAGGAUGAUGGCGCUGAUCUCGAUCGGGAAGGGUGGCGCGCUCGAUCGACGGCGAUGGCAUGAGAGAGUGAGAGAGAGAGACGGGCAAUGGUGAUCGAGGAGGGAUCGAGGAGGGAGGAUGACGAUCGAGGAGCGAUCGGGGAGGGAGGAUGCUCGCCAAUGCCGAUCUCGACUAGGAAGGGUGGCACACUCGACCGACGGUGACGGUGUGAGAGGGCAAGAGAGAGAUGGUCGAUGGCGAUCGGGGAGGGAGGACGGUGAUCAGGGAGGGAUCGAGGAGGGAGGAUGCUCGUCGGUGUCGAGCUCAACCGGGGAGGGAGCAAGGUGUCGGCAGCAUGGGCAAGGAGAUGGGUUCAUGCAUUUUGAAUUGGGGCAAAAUUUUAUCCUAAAAUAAUAUAUUUUUUUUCAAACUAAACAAUCUUUAACGAACGAAAUUAUUUCAUCACAAAAUAUAAAAAUUUUAUCGUAAAAAAUAAUAUUUUUUGUAAAUAAAAAUUUUUUAUCGUAAAUGAUUAAAUUUUAGCAAUAAAAAAUUUAUUUCAUCGUAAAUAAUUUUUUUUGGAGACAACGGUGGUGGCAGAGGGAG
rnacentral:lncRNA from 1 species